rnacentral:rRNA from 1 species
UACGUAGGGGGCAAGCGUUGUCCGGAAUCAUUGGGCGUAAAGAGCGUGUAGGCGGCCCGGUAAGUCUGUUGUGAAAGUCCAGGGCUCAACCCUGGAAUGCCGAUGGAUACUGCCGGGCUAGAGUUCGGAAGAGGCGAGUGGAAUUCCUGGUGUAGCGGUGGAAUGCGCAGAUAUCAGGAGGAACACCAAUGGCGAAGGCAGCUCGCUGGGACGGUACUGACGCUGAGACGCGAAAGCGUGGGGAGCAAACAGG